CUACGGGAGGCAGCAGUGGGGAAUCUUGCGCAAUGGGCGAAAGCCUGACGCAGCAACGCCGCGUGCGGGAUGACAGCCUUCGUGGUUGUAAACCGCUUUCAGCAGGGACGAAAAUGACGGUACCUGCAGAAGAAGUCCCGGCUAACUACGUGCCAGCAGCCGCGGUAAUACGUAGGGGACAAGCGUUGUCCGGAUUCAUUGGGCGUAAAGAGCUCGUAGGCGGUCUAGUAAGUUGGGUGUGAAAGCUCCGGGCUCAACCCGGAGAGGUCACCCAAAACUGCUAUGACUAGAGUCCAGUAGAGGAGCGUGGAAUUCCUGGGGUAGCGGUGAAAUGCGCUGAUAUCAGGAGGAACACCAGCAGCGAAGGCGGCGCUCUGGGCUGGAACUGACGCUGAGGAGCGAAAGCGUGGGGAGCAAACAGGAUUAGAAACCCUAGGAGGCC
rnacentral:rRNA from 1 species